UGCUUACUUUAUUUUGUUGCUGAAUUGCUUUGAAUUGCAAAUGGCAUUAGAUGUAAUCUUUGAUGAAACAGGAAUGUACUAAAGGGAGGAAAAUUGAACAUGAAGGAAAGGGCUGGUGGUUGCUGAUGGAGCAGUGUUUCUGAGAGAGUAGGCAGGACUAGGACCAAGAGUGCAGGUAGAGGGUCAGUAAUGGAAAAUUACCCCAGUUGA
rnacentral:lncRNA from 10 species